rnacentral:rRNA from 1 species
GCUGAGGCAUCCUAACAGACCGAUAGACUUGAAC